GAGACUGUACUUCUCAGGAUCAUUUCUGUAGUACGGUUUCCCGGUGGGGGUUCCACCUUGCUCGCCAAAGCACCCGCGAUGACGAGCACAAGCGUCGUCCCCUGACAAAGGGAGGGCCCCCAAGUGUCCGCGGA
rfam:Globodera pallida, Lindley, WGS project CBXT01000000 data, contig: pathogens_Gpal_scaffold_314_contig_9